rnacentral:tRNA from 1 species
AAACCAACAAGAACUGCUAACUCC